CUUGAAUAUCAAAUUCAUUAUGAAUUACGAGUACAAUUUAGUACAAUAUAAUAUAAUAAACUAAACACUACAAUAAUAAACCUUUACCUACUCGUACGAGUAAUAGUUACGUAAUAAUCUCCAAUUGAUUCCACCUAAAAUUUGGACUUUAAUAUCUAGUAAUAAUCAGGAAGGCUAUGUUAUAAAAAUAUUCAUUCGAAAAUGUAUUAAACCAUAUAACUUUAUUUCAUCACAAUAAUAGUGCUGGUAGUGUCACAUGACCUAUGGCAUGGAGCUCCUGCGGCCCCGUAGUGCUGGCGGUGCUCAUGUUCCACCUCGUCGGCACCAUCUUCGAGAGCAGGCUCGAAACACUCAUACGGCGAGUUUUGCAACGCGGCCCACUACAAAUGCAAGCUAAUCAGUCUAACCAGCCAAGCAACCAAGCAUCAGAUCCAUCACUAAAUGAACAACGGACACGUAGCACUAGAAGUUCACCAACGCUUCGUCAAUGCAGUGCAAUGACGAGCAAUUCCACCAUUUUUAACAGACCCAUUACAUCUAGGAGUGCUGAUGAUAUACCUACACUACCAACGCUCAAACUUACCUUGAGAUCUAAGUCCAACACAUGCGUUUAAAGUAGAUAGGUCAAUGUCAAUGCUUUACCAGCAGGGUUAUUACGUAUCUCGGUGUGCCAUUCAAAUAAUGAGUGACUACAUAGCUUUUCAACGUAUUUUCGCUAUUACUAUUACUAUACCAAUGUAAAGUUACGUAAAAUAAGGAUAACUAUGUAAUUUCAUUGUAAAAACAAAGCUUGAUGAUUGCAAAUACGAAAACACGAUGAAAAACUAUGUAGUGACUUUAUUUAAAUGGUACACUGAGAUACAUAAUAACCCUCCUGAUUUAUUUACAUACGUCGGCACUACAACCUUUUUAGGUCUUCGCCUGGUCAACCACUUGUUCUAACACAAAAAACAGGGAUAACAGAAAGGAUUGUUUUGCACUUUUGCCCAUUCAUUUCUGUUCUUUACCUUUUUUCUACACACACAUUUUCCCCAUUAGGUCUUCUUUCAUACAAGCUAACCAUCUUUUUUAACUUCUUCCUUCUUAUCUUUUUCCUGAGCCUUCAAUUUUGUCAUAACUUUCUGGUUCUCUAGUAAUCGACAUCUUCUCUACGUCACCAGCCACUGAAGGCGUUGUCCGCCUGAUUUACACUGAGAAAAUUUGGAAUGCCCUUCAAGCUUUCUAUUUCCCUAUCACCUACAAUCCUCAAUCAAGAAAGUGAGCAAGUAGGUACAGAUCCAUGCGUACGGUCUACACUUCUACCUGCAUUUUCGCUUACCGUCUGCGGCGUUAUUCAUAAACUAUUCUGUGAACUUUUAAAAACAUCGGAAUAUUGAACCGCAACAGACAAAGAAAAGAAUAGAGUAGGAGUGGUUGAAGAUUACCUACCAUGAGGGAUUACGCAGGACGGUUGAGGGUUUUUCAAGGUGGAAGGGAAAGGUAUUGCUUUUCAAUAAGUUCCGUGAUCUUGAUUUCUCCACGCUUACUAUAUUCGCUUUAUUGUCUCAUUGAAGGAAAUUAAAUUAAAACGUGUACCUACUACCUAUUAUAUCGAUAUAAAAAAAUCACUGAUCAAUAAAA